rnacentral:lncRNA from 1 species
AACAAUUAAGUGCAUUCAUAUUUCAAACAUCAAGACCAAGCAAUAAACACAAAAAUACUACCAAGUACCACACAUUUUCUCCCCCACACUUAAAUUACACAUUGUCCUCAAUGUGUAGGGAAAGAAAACAACAAUAGAUAGAAAGAAAUACUCCUCAGUGCAAUGGCUGAAAUCCAGAUUAAUCAUGAAUCACGAACCUUCGCCAAAACACAAAUAUCUACGAACACUGUCCAAAAGAUGAAAUGUAAACAGAAAAGGUCAAGUUAAACAUCCUACAAACAAAAGAUUAAAAACGACAAGUAAAUCCGGAAACAACAAUAAUAGCCAUCCUAGAGGUGCAACUUCAUUCAUCAUCUUCAUCUUUAUCGCCGUUAUGAGAUGGAGGAAUGCCUAGGUGAUACUCAAUCCUCUCCAAGCGAGUAUCCAUUUGACCCAACCGAUACUCGAUAUCGUCCAAGCGAGUUAAGAGCUACUGCCAAUUCGAUUGUGGUGGUAUAGGAGAAGGUCCAGUAGUAGAAGGUCCAGCUUCCUCUUGGCCAUGUAGUGCCUUUUGUCGCCUUUCUCGAGUAGGUUGAGGAAUAUUCUCCGUACCAAUACCAAGAUGACGAAAGGAAGAAACCGAUAACUCGGUUCUAGGUUUAACAAAUUCUCGAGUUACACCCUACAAGUUAACAUCGAAAUACUCGAACAACAAAGAGAGCAAAUGAGGAAAAUGCACAAUUUGAAUGAAGUAGUCCGUCGCUUUGCCAUAGACCUUAUGUAGAUAAUAAUAAUAUUCCGCAAUGAAAUUCGAGCGUAGGAUGACUCCCGAUUAUGAAACAUAUAAUCAAGAAAAUAGAUGUCACUUUUUCAGACCUUUUUAUGACCCGUCUUUUUGGGUAUGAUAUUGUGUGCGAUCAUACAGAUAAUGAGAUGAUGGCGAGGUUCAAAGACACUUACCACCAUUGUUUCCUCCCCUGAAGACCUAAAACGUUGGUACUCAAGACCAAAUCUACUCAUGGCAUGCGAUGGAUCCCACCGCCUAUUUGGUGCGACGAAACUCUUCUUCUGGUCGACCACCCGACCUUGGUUGUUGCAACGUAAAAUGGCAGCUAAGUGCUCCUGCGAUAAAACAAUACACCUCCCACGCACCCAUAACUCCAUCUCACCACUGUGACGUACUUUGUUAUCAAUGUUGGCGUAGAACUCGCGCACCAAGUGAGGGUAGUAGUGAAUCGACAAUGUGAGAAUCGCCGCCCAACUAAGUUGGUUAAACGCUUCCAAGAUACGAUAAACCACUUCAAUUUGAGACUUGCAUGCAUCUUGAAGAUAAACUCUAAUUAGCUUCCGCCUUGUGCCACUCUUGAUUCCUAAGGCUGCUAAACUUGGCACUAUCAAAGACGGCAGAUUCGGCACUACGAGAAGUGUCCUCCCCUUGUCGUCUCUGCACCGGUUGAGAUGAGUGUGACCUCUCUUCUUCACUUUCUUCAAUAUACUCACUCACCUCCAUUUCAUCACUAUUAUAGGAUGAAUAAACAAUUACUUUUCUCUUGCCAUAAUAUCUAAGAAAAAAGAUUCAAAAGUCCACAUAUACAAAGUCAUAUUUCAUAACUUUGAUAAUAAAUAACCACAAUUGGCUCAAAAAGCUACAAAUACAUCUCUCCAUAUCAUAAGAAAUCAAAUAAAUAUACUUUAACGACCACUAUUAUGACAUACGAGAAGUGUCAUAAAACAUGUCAAAAUUUGCCCAAGAUCACUAAUUUAUCAAAAUAGGCAACAAAUAUAUUCCAAUCACUGAAAUUAGCACUAAUCAUGAUUAUAGCAGUCAUUAAUUAUCAACAAUAAUGUACAUUUAGCUAUAAACAUGGUUACGUAAAAAUUAUCUUAAUAACUCACAAAAUUCAUCAAAAUAACUCACUAUAUACAAUGUACACGUUUAAAUAUCAUCAACUAACCAUUUUGAACCAUAAUCAUCUAUUACAAUUGGUCCAAACACCGGUUGAAACUAUUUUUCUCAUUAUUUCCAAAUUUAGCAAUAUUAAAAUUUGAAUAGCCAUUGAAUAAUUAGAACAUGUAAUCAUGCUCAAACAACCUAAAUAAGCAAAUUGAAAACCACAAACAUCGAUAAAUACCAUCAAAAAUUCAAAAUUAAAAGAUGUCAGAAAACUCAGAAAAUUGAAAAAUACCAUUUUCUAAAAAACAAAGAUUUGAUGGAGAAACUCACCUCAAUUGCGAAGAAUGAUGUUCGGAGAUGACGAUUAUGCAAAAACUCUAUGAAAAUCACU